AUGUACAAGCCUACAACAUAGCGUUAAUGCACCGGAUCCCAUUAGAACUCCGCAGUUAAGCGCGCUUGGGCUAGAGUAGUACUAGGAUGGGUGAUCGACAGGGAAGUCUUAGUAUUUUACAUG
rnacentral:rRNA from 1 species